rnacentral:rRNA from 1 species
AUUGAACGCUGGCGGCAGGCCUAACACAUGCAAGUCGAACGAGUGGCGGACGGGUGAGUAAUGUCUGGAAAACUGCCUGAUGGAGGGGGAUAACUACUGGAAACGGUAGCUAAUACCGCAAACCAUCAGAUGUGCCCAUAUGGGAUGAGCGUGUUGGUGGGGUAACGGCUCACCAAGGCGACGAUCCCUAGCUGUUCGGAGAGGAUGACACGCCACACUGGAACUGAGACACGGGCCAGACUCCUACGGGAGGCAGCAGUGGGGAAUAUUGCACAAGGGUCGCAAGCCUGAUGCAGCCAUGCCGCGUGGAUGAAGAAGGCCUUCGGGUGGUAAAGUACUUUAAGCGGGGAGGCGUUACCCGCAGAAGAAGCACCGGCUAACUCCGUGCCAGCCGCCGCGGUAAUAC